UGACGACAAGACGCUAAGGCGUUGAAGCAGUGUACGUCAGACUUCCAAGAAAAGCUCGCAAUGUCAUAGAUAAAAAAUGCCUGUACCAUAACCGACACAGGUGGGUAGGUAGAGUAUACUAAGGGGCGCGAGAUAACUCUCUCUAAGGAACUCGGCAAAAUGACUCCGUAACUUCGGGAGAAGGGGUGCCUUAUUUAUAAGGUUGCAAUAACAAGAUCCAAGCAACUGUUUAUCAAAAACACAGGUCUCCGCUAAGUCGUAAGACGAUGUAUGGGGGCUGACGCCUGCCCAGUGCCAGAAGGUUAAAGAAGUUGGUUAGUGUAUGCGAAGCUGAUGACUGAAGCCCUGGUGAACGGCGGCCGUAACAAUAACGGUCCUAAGGUAGCGAAAUUCCUUGUCGGGUAAGUUCCGACCCGCACGAAAGGCGUAAUGAUUUGGAUACUGUCUCGGAGAGAGGCUCGGUGAAAUAGACUUGUCUGUGAAGAUGCGGACUACCUGCACCAGGACAGAAAGACCCUAUGAAGCUUUACUGUAACUUGAAAUUGGAAUUGGACUUUGCUUGCGCAGUAUAGGUGGGAAGCGUUGAAGAUAUUCUUGCGGGAGUAUUGGAGCUAUCAGUGAGAUACCACUCUUGUAAUGUUAGAUUUCUAACUUUGAACCAUAAUCUGGUCAAAGAACAGUUUCAGGUGGGCAGUUUGACUGGGGCGGUCGCCUCCCAAAUGGUAACGGAGGCGUACAAAGGUUUCCUCUGAACGGAUAGAAAUCGUAUCUAGAGUGUAAAGGCAUAAGGAAGCUUGACUGUGAGACCUACAAGUCGAGCAGGGACGAAAGUCGGUCUUAGUGAUCUGACGGUACUGAGUGGAAAGGCCGUCACUCAACGGAUAAAAGUUACUCUAGGGAUAACAGGCUGAUCUCCCCCAAGAGUUCACAUCGACGGGGAGGUUUGGCACCUCGAUGUCGGCUCAUCGCAUCCUGGGGCGGUAGUACGUCCCAAGGGUUGGGCUGUUCGCCCAUGAAAGCGGUACGCGAGCUGGGUUCAGAACGUCGCGAGACAGUUCGGUCCAUAUCCGGUGUAGGCGUUAGAAUAUUGAGAGGAGCCUUCUUUAGUACGAGAGGACCGAGAAGGACACACCGCUGGUGUACCAGUUAUCGUGCCAACGGUAAACGCUGGGUAGCUAUGUGUGGAGUAGAUAACCGCUGAAAGCAUCUAAGUGGGAAGCCCACCUCAAGAUGAUUGCUCUCACAGGGUUAACCUGGUAAGGUCACGGGAAGACCACCCGUUGAUAGGCACUCGGUGGAAGUCCAGCAAUGGAUGAAGCC
rnacentral:rRNA from 1 species